ensembl:lncRNA
GUGCAGGCUCCACUGUCAGUACACCUCCACUGUCAGGACGGAAGUGCAGACUUUUAAACGCCCAUUUAAAUUCAAAUUGCAUUUGCGAGGGAGUCCCACCAGCGACAGCAUGUGUCCCGCGUACCGUGAGUUGCUGAAUUUGCUCAUCCACAGAAAAUUCAUCAUUCAAUCGGAACAUGUGGUGGAAAGGCCCACCUGUGAGGUGAGGUGCCACCAGUGUUUAGGCUGAAGAAAAGGAAGGUGGAUGACAUAACUGAGGAAGAAGAGCAGCAGGCUGAGGUCUCAGUCAGACCUGACAACGUUGCCUAGGAUUGUCCUGUCUCCCAAUUAGGACUGGUCCGCCUGUCUCCCAAUGAGGACUGAUGAAGGGGGGCGGAGUGGCCUUGUUGGUGGCCUAUGUGGACUCGGUUGAAGAUCGCAUUCUUCGGGAUUGCAGACAUGCAGCAGAGUGGGUUGAGGCCAACCAUCAACUGUUCGCUGCCAAAGUGGACCUGCCUUAUGUUUUGUCCAUAGGGGAGGAGAACCAGGCUGAGGCUGCUCUGCAUUAUGGGAGGUUGUGGAAAGAAAAAGUCGAAGAUGAUGAAAAGGAAUCAAUCAUGAAGCCCUUCAUGUUUACAUUUUACAGCACUAAUGACAUGUGGAAAUUCUCUGAGGAAAUAAUGGACAAAAGACAGAAUUUGGCCUAUUGUGAAUGUCACACAGAUGACGUGAGUUAUGUUCAAGAGUAAAGGGCCACAGAACAUUUCAUCAUGUUGUGUUUUUUUCGUUCUAAUUGAUCACUUAAUUAUUCACUUGGAUUAUACUCUAGAUAUCAAGAGUUAGGGUUGUAUCUAUUGGUACUUAGGUGUUCCAGAAGCACAAACUAAAUUAGCAAAGACAUAGAACCACCAUACACUUGUGCAUGUUUCCACAAGUGAACGACUUCAUGCCUGUCUACAUUUCAAAGUCGUGCAUUUUGCAGAAAAUGUGUAACAUCGGAAUCCGGGGUAACAGCCGUUGCUGCGUUGGACAGGGCUAAAACCUGCUUUGCACAUGCUUUAUAUGCUUUCCCGCAUUAGAGUGACAGUUAUCCAACAAGUGUCGCUCUUAUUCUCGCUCGCUCUCCUUGUUUGACCGUGAUCUAGCAUCUAGGAUCGAUUGCUCUUCCUUGGGUCCCUGGAUGUGAACACUGAAUUUCAUGAUGGACCAAUAAGAAUUGAAUUGAAUUUUGCAUCCGAGUUUGGCUUGUUGAAUUUUUUACGUAAAAUAGAUUUUGAAUUUGUUAAAUUUGUUAAAUUCAGAGGCAAACAAUUCUGACACGUUAUUUCAAUGCAGAAAUAUUAUUAAUUUUCAGUGCUUAAAAUUAAAUGGCUUUUUAUUUUCAAAAAUACAAUGAGACUGG